ACGGGUGAGUAACACGUGGGUAACCGCCUGGUAAGACUGGGAUAACUCCGGGAAACCGGGGCUAAUACCGGAUGCUUGAUUGAACCGCAUGGUUCAAUCAUAAAAGGUGGCUUUUAGCUACCACUUACAGAUGGACCCGCGGCGCAUUAGCUAGUUGGUGAGGUAACGGCUCACCAAGGCGACGAUGCGUAGCCGACCUGAGAGGGUGAUCGGCCACACUGGGACUGAGACACGGCCCAGACUCCUACGGGAGGCAGCAGUAGGGAAUCUUCCGCAAUGGACGAAAGUCUGACGGAGCAACGCCGCGUGAGUGAUGAAGGUUUUCGGAUCGUAAAACUCUGUUGUUAGGGAAGAACAAGUACCGUUCGAAUAGGGCGGCACCUUGACGGUACCUAACCAGAAAGCCACGGCUAACUACGUGCCAGCAGCCGCGGUAAUACGUAGGUGGCAAGCGUUGUCCGGAAUUAUUGGGCGUAAAGCGCGCGCAGGCGGUUUCUUAAGUCUGAAGUGAAAGCCCCCGGCUCAACCGGGGAGGGUCAUUGGAAACUGGGGAACUUGAGUGCAG
rnacentral:rRNA from 1 species